AACGAACGCUGGCGGCAGGCCUAACACAUGCAAGUCGAACGCCGUAGCAAUACGGAGUGGCAGACGGGUGAGUAACACGUGGGAACGUACCCUUCGGUUCGGGAUAACUCAGGGAAACUUGAGCUAAUACCGGAUACGUCCGAGAGGAGAAAGAUUUAUUGCCGAGGGAUCGGCCCGCGUCUGAUUAGCUUGUUGGUGAGGUAACGGCUCACCAAGGCGACGAUCAGUAGCUGGUCNGAGAGGAUGAUCAGCCACAUUGGGACUGAGACACGGCCCAAACUCCUACGGGAGGCAGCAGUGGGGAAUAUUGGACAAUGGGCGCAAGCCUGAUCCAGCCAUGCCGCGU
rnacentral:rRNA from 1 species